UACGUAGGGUGCGAGCGUUAAUCGGAAUUACUGGGCGUAAAGCGUGCGCAGGCGGUUUUGUAAGCCAGAUGUGAAAUCCCCAGGCUCAACCUGGGAACUGCGUCUGAUACUGGUUGGCUUGAAUCCGGGAGAGGGAUGCAGAAUUCCAGGUGUAGCGGUGAAAUGCGUAGAUAUCUGGAGGAAUACCGGUGGCGAAGGCGGCAUCCUGGACCGGCAUUGACGCUGAGGAGCGAAAGCUAGGGGAGCAAACGGG
rnacentral:rRNA from 1 species